rnacentral:lncRNA from 1 species
UAUAAUAAAAUCGGAUAAAAUACUUGCAAGGUACGUCGCAACACCAAACAAAUAUUUUACUCUCAUAAUUUACACAUUUUAAACUCCUUUUUUUUGGGCGGUAAGCAAAACAUAACUGUAAAAGAUGUCUGUCAAUUACGUUUGUGGAAUGUGAAAUGGAACAUCCAUUUGGUUUUAUUGCCAGUCACCCAUGGCACCCUCAACCUGAUGAUGUGGCAGUGCGCCACUCCUGGCAAGAAGUCCACCCCAUGGGAGGGUGGCCUCUACAAGCGCAGGAAGAGGCGUAUGGCAUACUGUUGAAGAACCGCUUGGAGUACGACAAGCGCGUGCGUGCCCAGGCGCGUGCCAUGGCCAGUAACAUAUAAAAAUAAAUAUUCCACUUAGAAUGCUGCUUAUAAGAG